rnacentral:rRNA from 1 species
AGUGAACGCUGGCGGUAUGCCUAACACAUGCAAGUCGAACGACAGCACAGUAAGAGCUUGCCCUUACGGGUGGCGACUGGCGGGCGAGUAAGGCAUACAUCGGAAUCUACUAUUUCGUGGAGGACAACGGAGGAAAACUUACGCUAAUACCUCAUACGACCUACGGCAUAAAUCAGGAGUGCUUGACACUUUUCCCGUCUCAUUGAGCCGGUGCCGGAUUAGCUAGUUGGCUAGGUAAGGGCACACCAAGGCAACGAUCCGUAGCAGGUCUGAGAGGAUGAUCAGCCACACUGGAACUGAGACACGGUCCAGACUCCUACGGGAGGCAGCAGUAGGGAAUAUUCGGCAAUGGGCGCAAGCCUGACCCAGCAAUGCCGCGUGAGUGAAGAAGGCCUUCGGGUUGUAAAGCCCUGUUGUUGGGAAAGAAAAGAAGCAUGUGAAUCCGUCGCUGUUUUGACGGUACCUAAACAGUAAGCCCCGGCUAACUUCGUG